GAUGAACGCUAGCGGCAGGCUUAACACAUGCAAGUCGAGGGGUAGAAGAAGCUUGCUUCUUUGAGACCGGCGCACGGGUGCGUAACGCGUAUGCAAUCUACCUUUCACAAAGGGAUAGCCCAGAGAAAUUUGGAUUAAUACCUUAUAGUAUAAUUGAAUGGCAUCAUUUAAUUAUUAAAGAUUUAUCGGUGAAAGAUGAGCAUGCGUCCCAUUAGCUAGUUGGUAUGGUAACGGCAUACCAAGGCAACGAUGGGUAGGGGUCCUGAGAGGGAGAUCCCCCACACUGGUACUGAGACACGGACCAGACUCCUACGGGAGGCAGCAGUGAGGAAUAUUGGACAAUGGGCGCAAGCCUGAUCCAGCCAUGCCGCGUGCAGGAUGACGGUCCUAUGGAUUGUAAACUGCUUUUAUACAGGAAGAAACCCCUCUACGUGUAGAGACUUGACGGUACUGUAAGAAUAAGGAUCGGCUAACUCCGUGCCAGCAGCCGCGGUAAUACGGAGGAUCCAAGCGUUAUCCGGAAUCAUUGGGUUUAAAGGGUCCGUAGGCGGUCAGGUAAGUCAGUGGUGAAAGCCCAUCGCUCAACGGUGGAACGGCCAUUGAUACUGUCUGACUUGAAUUAUUAGGAAGUAACUAGAAUAUGUAGUGUAGCGGUGAAAUGCUUAGAGAUUACAUGGAAUACCAAUUGCGAAGGCAGGUUACUACUAAUUGAUUGACGCUGAUGGACGAAAGCGUGGGUAGCGAACAGGAUUAGAUACCCUGGUAGUCCACGCCGUAAACGAUGGAUACUAGCUGUUGGGAGCAAUCUCAGUGGCUAAGCGAAAGUGAUAAGUAUCCCACCUGGGGAGUACGAACGCAAGUUUGAAACUCAAAGGAAUUGACGGGGGCCCGCACAAGCGGUGGAGCAUGUGGCUUAAUUCGAUGAUACGCGAGGAACCUUACCAAGGCUUAAAUGUAGAUUGACCGGUUGGAAACAGAC
rnacentral:rRNA from 1 species